rnacentral:lncRNA from 1 species
CCAUGCCAUCAUCGAAGGGAACUUCCUCCGGCAUGUCCACAUCCAAGUCCUCAGGAUGCGAGACAAACGGAUCCGCCUCCACUUCCAGCCCGGGAUGGCUCGUCUGGAACCGGCCAAGGGCGAUUCGGUACCCGUACUCGUAGGUAACCUGCCCCGACCGAGCCAGCCCGAGCUGGAAGCCCGGUGACUAUUUAUAGGCCUCG